UCAAAGAAUAGUUUAUAUAUAAAAUAUUAAUUUUGGAGAUUAAUGAAAAAAAAAGAUUUUUUCUUUGAA
rnacentral:tRNA from 1 species